GGAGGGAGGGCGAGCGGGAGCGCGCAGCCCGGCGUCUCGGCCCGCGCGGCUUCCUGCCUGCGCCCGGCGCUGCUCCUUUUUGCAAAGUUCUGGAGGUCAGAAUUUCAAGAUGUGUCUCCAUGGGCUAAAGUCAGCAUCAACAGGGCUGUGUUCCUUCUGGAAGCUCUAAAGCAACAUUUAAAAUACGGAAGAGACCGAUUCUUCACCGUGGAAUUGCCUUGGCAUCCCUGCCAAAAAACAACUGGAUCUACAUCUGGAUGCUGUUUUGUGCCAGUGAUACAUGUGCCUCUUUUUACACUGACCAUUUGCUCACAUUAAAAGAAGUUGAUAAAAUGAACUGUCAUGAAAAUAAUAGAUGUCCUGUAUUUAAUGACUCUCUUCAAAAUGUGGACAAUUCUUCAAGCCUGGUCGUGGACUGGAGAUGAAAAACUCAAACGCUAGAUAAUGAAAUAUGCAUUACCAGCAUUUAAUUCUCAGGUGAGUCUAGCUGAAGAGAUUGAUGUUAAUGACGUCCUCUGAAAAUUAAUUGUUUGAGGAUGGAUGAAUGAGUAUUUUCAAAAUUUCUUCCUCCUUUUCAUGUUGCUGUUUAUGGUUUUGCCAAGUUCACAUUAAGUUUUGUUACAGGCUUGAAGGUGCAACUUAUCAAUCAAAGCCUCAACAAAAAAGGGGCUAAGCUUACUUGCUUAAAAUGAAUGCGUUAUUGUCGUUUUCCCUACAUAGGGCGCACAUUUUCAUUUAAACUAGUAUCCAACAUUUUGGCAACUGUUCCGUUUCUAAACUGUAAGUAACGCUAUGUCACUCUUGGUUUUUUGUUUGUUUUUGAAGUUUUUUCUUUUUAUUUAUUUUUUUUAUUAAAGUGCAGUUUAUUUACAGUGUUAAUUUCUGCAGUGCAGCAAAGUGACUCUCUUAUACAUACAUACCUUCUUUUUUAUAUUUCUUUCCAUUAUGGUUUAUCCCGGAGAUUGGAUAUUUUUCCCUGCUAUAGAGUAUCCUAUAUAGUAGGACAGACCCUAUUUAGUAAGAUAGAUCCUAUAGGGUAGGAUCUCUGUCGAUUCUAAAGGUAAUAAUUUGCAUCUGUUGACCCUGAACUUGGUUUGGAAGUCAGCGCUCUAGUUGAAUGUCAUUAAAGGGGACACCGGAGGCGUGGUGCUGCUUUUAACGAGGAAAACCGUGAACUUUGAAAAUGGCUUCUCAAUCCCACAUUCACUUUUACUUGGUGUAUUAAAACUAUUCUGUGUCCGUUUUUCUCUUAAUGUUUAAUAAAUACUAUAGUUAUGGAUAAUAGUACUUCGUAUAUAAUAGGAGAUCUCUGUAUAUUUUAUUUAUGAAUAUAUCAUGAUCAAUAAAUGCAUGUUUACUGGGUUGGGUUGGUACCAAAGGUAGGCAUACAUAUUUAUAUUUAGUAUAUAUUACUAUUAUAUGUAUGUAUAAUAAUCAAUAAGAAAAAUAGUUACAAUAAUUUGUUAUUAAAAUUUUAUCCAUGAUUUGACUUUCAAAGUAGACGCUGAAAAAAAUUACUGUUUAAUAUGAUGUCUAAUAGACAGUGAAGGUGGUUUGCUAAUUAAAGAGAUUCUUUUUAACAUUGGUAGUAAAACCAGAAGUACAUCUAUGAAGACUUUUCUAAAUAGUCUAAUUUAUGUGUAAUUAUAUAACAAAGGUGAACUUGCAUUUAUAUGAUACAUAAAGAUCACAUGACAUAAAACUGUUUCUGAAAUUAUAACAUUAUUUUAUGGUGGAGGGGUGACUGAUAAGGAUAAGUGCCAUCUCGUGGGAUUCUUUCUGAAUCUAUACAGAAACUUCAUUUGACCAUGAACAUUAUUGCUCUUGUCUCUCCAAAAAAUAUUCAUCAUCAGUUGAUCCAUAAUUUAUUUAAAAACAUGUGCUUAGUGGCAACUAAGCGACUAACUACACAUCCCAUAGCCAUAUUAUGCCUUAAUAAAUAUUCUGUAUAUUAAUUAACUACAUCAUAUAGUUCAUAAACAUGACGGAGUCCUUACAGUGUUAAAUUUAAACAUGGCACAGCCCACGAGUGUUAUACUGCAGUGAUAUUCUUUCACUUUUCAUUUGAACUAAUUAAAUAAUAUACAGUAUACCAGGGCCCUGCUUAUUUGCUCAUAUUACCAAUGUCAGGAUGCUUGUAAUGAUAACUAUGACAAUCAUGAAAAAAAUAACAUUUAAAAAGUGUAAAUUAUGUCUGAACGUGACAUUCAUCGCAUUCUAGUAGCAGAACAGUUCUGUGAGGCAUUUUCUUUCAUUGUCCCCAUUUUACAUAUUAGGAAAUUUUAGGCACUUUUCCUGAUGUCACUUGUAUACAAAUUGGCUGGUAUGGGUUCAAUUCAUGACGCUUUGAUGAGGGGGCUUCUUGAGUACUGAGCAAAGGAGGAACCCAGGCUGCCACAGUCCAGCGGUGGGACCAGCUGCAUACACUAAAUGAUUGUCUUAGUGACCACAUUUUAUAAAUAGUCGUGGGGGCCAGAAAACUAGGACAGUGGGGAAAGUUUCAUGACGAGGAGGGAAUAUUUCCAAAAAGCCAAAAAUGAUCAGAACUUGAAAAUAAAAUGCUCCAGAGCAACAAGUGUCUUUGAGAACUGCUUCUGGUUGAUUAGGACAGGAAACACUCUCUUCAAGUCUGGCAAUAAGGGCGCUCACUCUUACCAGCAACACAGAAGUCAGUUUUAGUAAAAGAUGGGGAAACAUCAGGCAUGUAUGAAAUUAAUGAUUAAAAAUGAGAAAAUCAUGCCACUGGGCACAUGGAAUUAUUUUAAAAAGAUGACGCAGGAAAGAGAAAAGUAUGACACAUGCACUUAAGAGAGAUGUGAGCCGAUGGUCUGGUUUGAGAUUAUUUUAAUAUGUUCAUAAGAAGCUUUUUAAACCCCAAAUCUUGACCUCUCCUUCUUUACACCAUGAAUUUUUUAGAUUAGAGCUUGAUCACUCUUUACUCCAUGAAUUUUGUAGAUUCCAUCAUUAAACUGUAUUUCAAGCCUAUCACCUUUCCCCUAAUACAGCAAUGACUUUCUUAUCCCCCGCUUCUUCCUUGUCCAUCUUUUUUUUAGCUCCACUUUAGUCACUGGAGCUAAAGUGACUUAAAAAAAAAAAAAA
rnacentral:lncRNA from 1 species